rnacentral:rRNA from 1 species
UUCGCAAUGCCCGAAAGGGUGAACGAGCGACGCCGCGUGCGGGAUGAAGGUCUUCGGAUUGUAAACCGCUUUUCUUUGGGAAGAAGGUCCGUGUCGUGAACUCGGGCUCGACGGUACCAGAGGAAUAAGCCCCGGCUAACUCCGUGCCAGCAGCCGCGGUAAUACGGAGGGGCAAGCGUUGUUCGGACUUACUGGGCGUAAAGGGCGCGUAGGCGGAACAGUCCGUCCGAUGUGAAAGUGCUACCGCUCAACGGAGCAAAGCCAUCGGAAACAGCUGUUCUUGAGUCCGGGAGAGGUGAGUGGAAUUGCCGGUGUAGCGGUGGAAUGUGUAGAUAUCGGCAAGAACACCAGUGGCGAAGGCGGCUCACUGGCCCGGUUCUGACGCUGAAGCGCGAAAGCGUGGGGAGCGAACAGGAUUAGAUACCCUGGUAGUCCACGCCCUGAACGGUGGGCACUAAGUAGAGGGGUUUU